UUCACUUUUGAUAGAUAUGCUUCUUCCAUCUAUUUUGAUCUGCUUCAACGAUUGACCUCAAAUCCUUACAAAUUCUCCAUCUGCUCUGAUUAAGGUCAGUUGCUUAACUUUCGUUUACCUUCAGCUCACACAAUUUAUGUGAUAUGCAAAUCAUGUAUUAUCAAUUUCUGCUCUAAUCUCGUUCCGUUCCGUUCCUUUCCUUGUAGCUUUGCCUAACUUUUGUCUACUUUGUAAUUACCUCUUGCUAUAAUUUGGAACUGCUCUCACUUUUUAUUGUUGCAAGUAUGAUUAGACCUUGUCUCCUUUCCCCGGAUUCUCAGUAUCAGUAUUUUCAUCAUUAGUGCCAGGAAGUAACGGGAUCUGCGAAAAUGGAAGCAUUGACGGAGAACAUUGAUCUUGAAUCUGAUGAAGGAAGUCCAUUAACUUUAUCACAUUCCACCAAUGCAAAACAAUCUUUUCAGUUUGAGACAUCUCAUACAAGUGGCGACAGAUUAUCAGUCCUCAGAGAGUUACAGCUCACUGCAUUCCAUAGUAUCUAUAUUGUCUUGUUUAAAGCGAAGAUCAAUGUUUUGCUUCCUUUUGGACCUUUGGCAAUACUACUACACUACCUAACAGGACAGCAUGGUUGGGUCUUCUUUUUCAGCUUACUAGGAAUUGCUCCUUUAGCUGAGCGACUGGGUUAUGCAACCGAGCAACUCGCAUUUUAUACAGGGCAGACAGUUGGUGGUCUUCUGAAUGCCACAUUUGGCAAUGCUACAGAAAUGAUUAUCUCACUAUAUGCAUUAAAGAGUGGGAUGAUUAGGGUGGUUCAGCAAUCAUUAUUGGGAUCCAUCUUAUCAAACAUGCUAUUAGUGCUUGGUUGUGCCUUCUUUACCGGUGGCAUUGUGCAUUAUCCAAAAGUCCAGGUUUUCAGUAAGGCAACUGCCAUAGUUAGUUCAGGACUGCUGUUGAUGGCUGUGAUGGGUAUAUUAUUUCCAGCUGUUCUUCACUUUACACACACAGAAGUCCAUUUCGGGAAGUCAGAAUUGGCACUUUCAAGAUUUAGCAGCUGUAUCAUGUUGGUGGCGUACGGAAGCUAUCUGUUCUUUCAGCUUAAAAGCCACUCUAACCUAUAUGAUUCAAUUGAUGAGGGAAGGGAAAAUAAUGGGGAAGAUUCUGAUGGCGAGGUCCCUGAGAUUACUAAGUGGGAAGCAAUUUCAUGGCUUACUAUUAUAACAUUGUGGGUAUCUGUACUAUCUGCCUAUCUCGUUGAUGCCAUACAGGGAGCAUCUGACUCAUGGAAUAUUCCCGUGUCUUUUAUUAGCGUCAUCCUGCUUCCUAUCGUUGGGAAUGCUGCUGAACAUGCAAGUGCCAUAAUGUUUGCCAUGAAAGACAAACUUGACAUCACACUAGGGGUGGCAAUUGGAUCAUCAACUCAGAUAUCUAUGUUUGUGAUCCCCUUUUGUGUGGUUGUGGGUUGGAUCAUGGGGCAGCCGAUGGACUUGAACUUUCAGCUCUUUGAGACUGCUACACUCUUUAUCACAGUGUUAGUCAUAGCAUUCUUGCUGCAGGAAGGAACAUCAAAUUACUUUAAAGGCCUGAUGCUAAUUCUCUGCUACCUCAUUGUUGCUGCAAGUUUCUUUGUACAUGUUGACAAUAAAUCUGGCAUAAAUUAUGCAGAUGAUGAUUAGAAGUGCAGGGACCAAAUGAUCAUUCAUCAUCAUCAAGAAAUAGAACUUGAUUUCCGGCAUGGGUGCACACAGAUCAGCAGCUCGAUUAUUCUUUUCCCAUAUUGUAAAUUUGGAUCCAGCAUCAUAAGGAAGCUGGAAGUUUUUUGGUCUAUGACUAGUUGAAAUAGAAGGCACACAUAUUACGUCCUGAAAAAUGAAGAAUUUGCAGUCGGCUGGUUCCAAUGACCUGAACUGACCUAUGUGUGAAAUUGGUGCGGAAGGAGCCUGAUAAGUAUGUGGUAGAUUAUGAAGGUCAAGUUGUGGGUGUGAAGUGCGUGCAUAUUUUAGAUUUCCUAGUUCUGUUCACCAAACUAUCUGUAGAGCAGAUGACUAGGUUAGCAUUGGUUUAGCAGUCAUGUUGCUCAUAUUGACUUGUACAUUUAUGCGUUUUUCUUUCAUGGGUUCAUGUGCUGAUGAGCUUUAUGUAAUGUUAUCGUACCAUUUGAAUUAUUUAAUGACGGAGGGACGGAGAGGGAGAGGGUUCCACCACAAAAUAUCAAGACAUGGUUGUUCAAAAG